CUCGCGCGCACGCGCACGCGCUCCACUUUCUUCAGCGGCGUCGGCGAAGUCGUUCGGAAGUUCAAAAUGGCCGCGGCGACGGUAGUGGAGCUGGGACUGCAGGGCUCUGGUAUUGACGAGGCUGAUAUUUCUGAGAGAAGUGCAAAUGAAGAAAAUGGAGAUAUUUCAGAAGGUGACCAACCUCAGACAAAGCACAACCGACAUAAAAAAAAGAAGCACAAACAUAGAGGCAAACAUAAGAAACACAAACAUUCUUCAGAAGAAGAUAAGGACAAAAAGCAUAAACAUAGGCACAAGCAUAAGAAGCAUAAACGAAAGGAGGCUGCUGAUGCUUCUGAUAAGGAAGAUGGGCCAGCAAAAAGAACUAAAAUUGAUUUCUUAGCGCCCCUGGAAGAUUUAGAAAAACAAAGAGCAUUACUUAAAGCUGAACUUGAAAAUGAGCUAAUGGAAGGAAAAGUUCAAUCUGGCAUGGGAUUGAUUUUGCAGGGUUAUGAGUCAGGUUCUGAAGAAGAGGGAGAAAUCAAUGAUAAGAUGAGAAAUGGGACUAGAUCUUCAACUAAAGCAUCUUCUAUUAAGGCGAAACUAGAGAUUGUGGACAAUAAAUCUAGUUCAAAGAAGCAGAGUAAGAGCAGAUCAAAAGAACGGACUCGACACAGAUCUGAUAAAAAGAAGAGCAAAUUAGGAGCUGAUGGUAUAAAGGAAAGAACAGCUAGAAGUAAAUCAAAAGAGAGAAAAAAAUCAAAAAGUCCAUCAAAAAGAACCAAGUCUCAAGACCAAGUAGGAAAGUCAAAAUCUCCAACCCUUAGAAGACGUUCUCAAGAGAAAAAUAGGAAGUCGAAAUCUCCAGAAGAUAAGAGCAAAGCAGAAGAAAAGAUUAAGUCAAGAGAGCGUAAAAAAUCUCCAGUUGUUAUUGAAAGUAAAAGCAAAGAUCGUGGCAAAAAAUCUAAAUCCCCAGUAGAGCAAAGGAGCAAAUCCAAAGACAGAAGAUCAAGAUCUAAAGAGCGAAAAUCUAGAAGAUCAGAGACUGAAAGAGAUAAAAAGCCCACUAAAUCUCCUUCUAAAGAUGCAUCAUCAGGGAAAGAAAACAGGUCUCCCAGUCGUAGACCUGGUCGUAGCCCAAAAGGAAGAAGUUUGUCUCCAAAACCACGGGAUAAGCUAAGACGUAGCAGAUCACCUCUCCUGAAUGAUCGCAGAUCUAAACAGAGUAAAUCGCCAUCCCGAAAUCGGUCUCCCAGUAGGAGAGCAAAAAGCAGAUCAUUAGAGCGAAAAAGAAGAGAGUCUGAAAGGAGACGGUUUUCUUCUCCCAGAACACGAACAAGAGAUGAUAUUCUCUCUAGGAGUGAGCGCUCAAAAGAUGCAAGUCCACCUAGAUGGUCCCCAUCGAGAAGAAGAUCCAGAUCUCCCAUUCGACGAAGGUCUCGCUCACCUUUACGUCGUAGUCGGUCUCCAAGAAGGAGGAGUAGAUCUCCCCGUAGAAGGGAUAGAUAUCGACGAAGUAGAUCUCGCCUUAGAAGGAGAUCCAGGUCACGGGGUGGCCACAGACGUCGAAGUAGGAGCAAAAUAGAAGAUAAAUUUAAAGGAAGCCUUUCUGAAGGAAUGAAAGUUGAGCAGGAAUCUUCAUCAGAUGAAAACCUUGAAGACUAUGAUGUUGAAGAAGAAGAUGAAGAGGCUCUCAUAGAACAGAGAAGAUUACAGAGGCAAGCAAUUGUACAGAAAUACAAGUAUGUAACUGAAGAUAGUAACAUGUCCAUGCCAUCUGAACCAAGCAGUCCUCAGAGCAGUACUCGCAGUCGCUCAAACUCACCAGAUGAUAUUCUCGAACGAGUUGCUGCUGAUGUGAAAGAGUAUGAGCGAGAAAAUAUGGACACAUUUGAGGCCUCAGUGAAGGCUAAGCACAACCUUAUGACAGUUGAGCAAAAUAAUGGGUCAUCUCAGAAGAAAAUCACCGCUCCUGAUAUGUUUACAGAAUCAGAUGAUAUGUUUGCUGCAUAUUUUGAUAGUGCACGCCUUAGAGCUGCUGGCAUUGGAAAAGAUUUCAAAGAAAACCCCAAUCUCAGGGAUAAUUGGACAGAUGCAGAGGGGUAUUAUCGUGUUAACAUUGGUGAAGUCCUAGAUAAACGUUAUAAUGUAUAUGGCUACACAGGCCAAGGAGUUUUCAGUAAUGUAGUGAGGGCCAGAGAUAUGGCAAGAGCAAACCAAGAAGUGGCUGUCAAAAUUAUAAGAAACAACGAGCUUAUGCAAAAAACGGGCUUAAAAGAAUUGGAAUUUUUGAAGAAGCUUAAUGAUGCAGAUCCUGAUGACAAGUUUCAUUGUCUUCGAUUGUUUCGCCAUUUUUAUCACAAGCAGCAUCUCUGUCUUGUAUUUGAACCACUCAGUAUGAAUUUACGCGAGGUAUUAAAGAAGUACGGAAAAGAUGUUGGUCUUCACAUAAAGGCUGUACGAUCCUACAGUCAGCAGUUGUUCCUGGCACUCAAACUUCUUAAAAGAUGCAACAUACUGCAUGCUGAUAUCAAACCAGACAAUAUUUUAGUGAAUGAGUCUAAAACCAUUUUAAAGCUUUGUGACUUUGGAUCAGCGUCCCAUGUUGCUGAUAAUGACAUUACGCCAUAUCUUGUCAGUCGAUUUUAUCGUGCUCCUGAAAUCAUUAUAGGCAAAAUCUAUGACUACGGUAUAGAUAUGUGGUCUGUAGGCUGUACCUUAUAUGAACUUUACACAGGAAAAAUAUUGUUUCCUGGGAAAACCAAUAACCAUAUGUUGAAACUUGCAAUGGACCUCAAAGGAAAGAUGCCAAACAAGAUGAUCCGAAAAGGUGUUUUCAAAGAUCAGCACUUCGAUCAAAACCUUAACUUCAUGUACAUAGAGGUAGAUAAAGUCACCGAAAGGGAAAAAGUCACUGUCAUGAGCACCAUUAACCCAACAAAGGACCUGCUAGCAGAUUUGAUUGGGUGCCAACGUCUUCCCGAAGACCAGCGCAAAAAGGUUCACCAGCUGAAGGACUUGUUGGACCAGAUCCUCAUGUUGGAUCCUGCAAAGCGGAUUAGUAUCAACCAGGCACUGCAACAUGCCUUCAUCCAGGAGAAAAUUUAAAUCCAGUGAAGAUAUUCAAAGGGUUUGAAUAGUUAAUAUACAAAGACUGAUGAGAUUUCACAGCAGUUGAUAAGUGUACAUAUAACAUAUAAAUAAUUUCCUGGCGAAGUUGAGGAAGAGUGAUAUGUGAGUUAACACGAAGUCGGAUAUUUCUUUUAGAAAUGUUAGAAUACUGGCUCUUGUGUUUACCUUUUUCACUGUAGAACUGUUUUAAUUGCCACAACUGCACAGAAAUACAGUGCUAAUGUAUAUGGUUGCAGUUCUAUAAUAUAAUAUAUAUACAUAUAUAUAUAAAAAAAAUACAUAGGCAUAAUCAAAAAUACAGAUGCACAUGCACACUGUCCUUUCCUUCCUUCCCUCCCUGCCUCUCUCAAAUACAUAUAAACAAAGCGACUGUUAGCAAAAAACAGUUAAGACCGGGUGGUUGAUUGUGGUUUUUAGCAGAAUUGGCUUCAUUUGGGUCUCUGAAAAAUGGCCAGCGUAAAUGCUGUUUAUAUUGCGUUUUCCUAGGUGUGUGCGUGCAGGCCACAGCAGCAUGCCCUUGGUGUGUAGUCAGUGCCGAAGGGGGCCUGUUCCUUCUUGCGCCUGCCCCGCAGGGAUGGCCUCCUCUUUUAAAGCAGGUUGCGUACAACUUUCAGUACACUGAAGGUAAGCUAAACCAUCAACAUCGCUGGUGUUUAAGAUGUUAAUUGUACUGGAACAACUGACAAAUAAGGGCUUUGUAGCAGAAUUCCCUGCAUGUUUUAUAAAUGACCUUGUUUUUGUUUUCUGGCAUUACAACUGUGGCAUAAUUCCAACUUCUGUUUGAUCAUCACAUUCAAAGAAUAAAAUGGGGGAAUGUGCACUUGAUGGAGAGAGCGCCUUCAGUGUACUGUUUAUUACUUUUGUUUCUUUAAAAACAUCAACUUGCUAUAUAGACUUUAUACCUUUUGUGAAAGACAGUUCAGACAUGAGAGAACUCCAUUUACUAACAAAUGUUCAGCUUUGGUUCUAAAAGAACGUCCUUUCUCAUGACCAGAUAGAAAACACCAUAAUGAAAUUUUUAACUAUUUGUAUGUCAUUUGAAAGUGUACUGCUUUAUGCUGCAGGUGUUUUUUGUUUGUUCAUUGUUUUCAUUCUUUGUGAUCAUGUUGUCUUUCAAUACAGGCAUAAACCUUCCACUCUUGAGCAAAGCAGCUGCUUUUUAAAAGCGACAAAGGAAGGCAAGUCACAGGCCACUCAACGCCUACUCCAGGGGGUCUGGUUUGCUGAGACACCAACUUCACCUUCCUAACAAGGUGCCGCUCAAAUGAAGACGAUGGCAACCAGAAGACAUGAACAAAGGGUAAGUGGCAGAAAAUCUCUGUGAAACAUUUGCAUGGCACGAAGUGGGCUCAAGAGGCAGAUGUGUCUGUGAAAACAUAGAAAGAAGGCUUGGCUCUGAGAUUGGCAAGCUGUAACAUAAAUGUCUGCACCAGUAUGAAGCCACAGUUCGUUUUAAGAUAACAGCUUUUACUCUUUAAUUUUAACUUUGUCAAAAAUCUUUUGAUAAAUGUAAUUCCCUUUAUUUUUGUACUUAUUCAUGCGGGAUUCUGUUAAUUGUUAGAUAACAUUGCAGUAGCACCUUCCUGCACUGAAUUUUAAGCAUUAUAGUGCAUUGCUCAUUUGUUUAGUAGGCUUGCUCAAAGGCUAUAGACUCCCAAUUUGCCUAUUUAUUCUGGGAGAGACUGCCUACACUCUCACUCCAGGGAGUUAUUCCCUUCCUAAAAAUGUACAUUUUUCACAAUUUACCUCUGUCAAAAUUGGAGACAUCACCUUUCCCAAGGCCUACCCUCAUCUACUGUAGCAGAGAAGAAUCCGUUGUUGUUUGCUGAUCAGAGACAACAGAAAUUUCCUUGGAAAAUGGAGGGGGAGAAAAACCAUUUGUUUCAAGUUGCUACUUCCACCUUUGUUCCUUUAGUGCUUGCAAGUACCAUCUUAUUACACUUUGUUUGUCCUUCCUAUUGAGGAAGAGGAAAGACUGUUGUCUGCAAGUACAGGUUGAGCCCCUUUUAUCCAGAAACCUGGAAUGAAAAAAACUAUUUUUUUGCCCGCAACCACCUGCUUCCACCUUGAAGACAGCAGCUGCAGCAUUCCUGCUUUUAUUCAUCUUUCAGAUCUUCAAUCUUCUCCUAGCUUCACAAGUCCAGAAGAGAGACUGAGGACCUGAAAAAUGAACAAGCAGUAGUGCUACAUCUGCCACCUCAAAGGUGGAAGUCAGCAGAAAAGAACUGAAAGAGAAAAUGCCAACCCUGUAGUCUUGAAGGCAAAAACUAAUGGCUAGCAGCAAUAAGCAAAAUAAUCUAAAAUACGGAACACUUUUGUCCCCAAGCAUUUGGAUUAAGUGAUACCCAACCUGUGCCACACCCUUUCAGGUCACUCUUGAUAGUGAUGCUUGGGAUGCCAUGAUGUUAUUUGAUCAGUGGAGGUCUGAGAAGAGGAUCUAGACCCUGCCCAAAGAUGAUUCUCCACUUUAGGUCUCAAAAAUUGUCCUAGUAUCUGAAAAUAGAUGAGGUAUUAAACACAUUCCUGUGGAGACAUCUGUGCCUUUCUAAAGCAAUACAUUUUAAGCCAAACUGAAGUGUCACCUCACCAAUAAUGCAUGUGUUCACAAGCUACCACCAUUGAGGCUAUUCUUCUGCUUCUUUUCUUUAUAUUAACUGUCAACCUUUUCCCAUAAAGUAAUUGCAGUUUAUGUAAGCAUUGAGUCAUUUAUACUACAAGCUAUAUCAGAUACAGCAUUGAAGGUGUUUAAGACUGUUUUUAAAUGUAGCAGGUAAACUUCUUUAGAUAAAGGCUCAACAAGAAAAAAUAUUUCAAAUGUGUACCAUUUUGUGGAUAUCUUCAAGUUGAAGAUAAAGUGUAGCAUAUCUGAUAAUGGACUAAUGCUACAAAAUGUUAGUUUUUUAAAGGCAGCCUUCAACACUGCCUUCAGAUGAAGAUAGACAACUCUAAUUCUAACCUGCACAGCUGCCUGGGAAGUUGUCAAAUUUAGCUGCAGGGGACUAGGUUGGGGAAAACCAUUUUCAUGAGCCAAAAGUUUCUUCAUUCUAGUUUAAUCCGUGUUCUUUUGCUCUUCAGCUUUAUUAGAAGCCAAAUAGAGAUAAAACACAUUUUAGAAGAUGGUGGAAAUACCCAAUUUAUUAUGCAAAGGUUUAGAAUUUAGUAUUAUGGUUUCACCCUUAUUAAAAAAAUAACCACAGAUUAGCAACUUUAACUGAGUAAAAUCACUUGCAGAAUCGCAGAAGCUUUUCCUUGCUGUAAAUACUUCAGUGUACUUAUAAUAAAUAUUGACUGUCAAGGAUCAGUUCUCUUUGAUAGAAACACCCUGCAUUUGUGUAAUUGUAGUGUCUGUUGUGUUAUUGAGUUUUUGUCAAAUAAAUACUUAGUUGUUACCUUAAA